AUGGCUGGGGGCUGGGAGGGGGGGAGGGGGAUGGCCUGGCACUGUCUGCCCCCCCAGUGCUGCCCUGUCCCCGCAAGGUGGGAGAUGUGUCUUUGGGGAUGGGACACUGGCCCGGGUCUGCCCCAGCCCUGCCAGCGGGGAUGGGGGUGCAGUGCCCCAAGGGCAAAGGGGGGAGACUGGGAUGGGGCAGCAGGUGGGGGGCACACGUGUCUGCACAUCUGUCUGUCUGUCCAUCCAUUUGUUCAUCCACCCACCCGUCCUUCCGUCCAUCCAUCUGCCUGUCCAUCCACCCACCCACCCAUGCUUCCAUCCAUCCAUCUGUCCGUCAACCCACCCAUCUGUCCGUCCGUCCCUCCCUCCACCCACCCAUCCAUCUGUCCCUCCAUCCACCCACUCAUCCCCCCGCCCGCCCGUCCAUCUGUCCGUCCCUCCCUCCUCCCACCCACUCACCCACCCCAGGGUGGACCCAAGCCCUGGCCAUGGGGUUGCCAACUGUGGUCCCCAGAGUGGUGGCCGCUGGGUGCCACAGGGUGCUGGUGGCUGAGCCGGGGGGAGAAGUGCCACCUCCCAAGGGUUACAGGAGCCGUGUUGCCAUGGCACUCGGUGGCACUUGUCCUCUUGAGCCCAAUAAAAGCCGCCCGUUGGCCCCGGGUGCAGAGAGCGGCGCCAGCACCCAGCCCCAGCAGCAGCGCGGGAGAGGAGCCCACCUGGGGGUGCAGGACCCGGUCGUGCCCCACUCCCAUCCCAAAAAUGCCGAGGGCCCCACAGCCCCUCUCGCUCCUGGUCCUGCUCGUCCUCGUCGCCACCGCCCAGGGACAGGCCGUCACCAGUUCCACGGUGCUGGAGCCCUGGCUCCUGGGCCUCACGGCUGUUGUCGUCUUCCUCUUCAUCGUCUUCGUGCUCCUGCUCAUGAACCGGCUCUGGCGGAUCAGGAUGCGCAGGUGGGACAGUGGGACGGGGACACAGCCCGCACCCGCCUCACUGGGGGCAGGGGGCGGCCCACCCCGGGGGGGGGCACAGGUUCUGGUGGUGCCCGAAUCUGGGGGCAGGCCGCUCCCCGGGCACCGCUCACCCCCUCUGUCCCCUCGCAGGAAGCGGGGCAACGGCCAGGACACCCCGGGGACUGACAGGUACCACCGCGCGGGCGCCGUGGGGCUGGCACCCCGGGGAUGGCCACGUGCUGGCGGUGCCGUCCAUGGCUCGGCGGUGCCGUGCGUGGUCCGGCGGUGCCGUGCGUGGCCCCGUGUGCCCUUGGCACGGCCGAAGGUGAGGGUGAGGGCCGCGAGCGCAGCCGCCAUGCCCGGCUGACCCCUCUCCUGCCCCACAGGCUGGAGCGCAUCGGCCACGUCAACCCGGCGGCCGAGGAGGAGAGCGACGACGAGGAGCGCAGGAAGGCCACCCCGCUCUGAGGCGGUGGCUGUGUCCCCCCCGCCCUCGCCCACCCGGUUCCCCCCGUCCCUGGGGACGCCCCGUCGGGCCCCGCGCCCUCAGCCCCGUCCGCGGGAGGCGGAUCCGCGCCGGGUUUUGCGGCGGGAGGUGCCGCGGCGGCC
rnacentral:lncRNA from 1 species